GAAAAGAAGAAGGCUGCGAAGGGCUUUGAUCUUCUUCCUCUUCUUCAUCCUUCUUCUUCCUCCUCUCAAGUGCAAUCAAGAGUUGAUUGAAAGAGAGGAGAUCAGCCAUCAAAAGAAGUCUUUGCAAGGGAGCUAGCACCCCGGGAAGACAAGAAAGAUUUGAUCGGUCCUCUACUUCGUGUGGAUACCCGUAGAGGCCGGACGUUUGAACGGCUUCAAGCGAACCCUCUUCUAAAAUCACGAAUUCAGAUUUGCGGUGAUCAUCUACCCGCGCAAGGUGAAGAUUUGAUCUUCCUAAUAGUUUUAAAAGUUCUAAUUCU
rnacentral:lncRNA from 1 species